rnacentral:rRNA from 1 species
GUAGGGUGCAAGCGUUAUCCGGAAUCAUUGGGCGUAAAGAGCUCGUAGGCGGUUCAGCAAGUCGGCUGUGAAAUUCCGAGGGCUCAACCUCGGAACUGCAGUCGAUACUGUUGUGACUCGAGUCCGGUAGAGGAGAAUGGAAUUCCCGGUGUAGCGGUGAAAUGCGCAGAUAUCGGGAGGAACACCAGUAGCGAAGGCGGUUCUCUGGGCCGGCACUGACGCUGAGGAGCGAAAGCGUGGGUAGCAAACAGGAUUAGAUACCCUGGUAGUCCACGCCGUAAACGUUGGAUACUAGGUGUGGCGUUCCGACCAACGGUCGCCGUGCCGAAGCUAACGCAUUAAGUAUCCCGCCUGGGGAGUACGGCCGCAAGGCUA